AUCCUGACUACCAUGUAACGGUCAGGCCACACUUGUCAAAAGAAUACAUGGAAUCAAAACCAGCUGCAGAGCUUGUCAAGCUUAACCCUACGAGUGAGUAUGCUCCUGGCCUGGAAGACACCCUCAUUUUGACCAUGAAGGGUAUUGCUGCUGGCAUGCAAAACACUGGUUAACGGUGUUAUCUUUUGUUGCUAAUAUUUUCCAUCAUAUAAAAUAGAUUUGCAUGAAAAGUAUGAGUGUUGUAUUUAUCGGAUGCUUUGAUCAGCAUAUAAUUUAACGUCUUCUUUUUCUUCUUU
rnacentral:misc_RNA from 1 species